AGGGGCCCGUUCGCUCGGGCCCCUCUAGGGUUUUUAUCAUCUAUAUACAAGCUGCCGAGUGGGCUGUGGCUCAUUCGGAAAACGAUUUGGAGAUUCAUGGCAUCUCCUUGUCAGUUAAGUGGAAAUAUCUUUUAAGAUGACAAUAGUCUGAAACAAUCCUUACUUCAUUUUUAGUUAAUUCAAGCAACUUUCUAAUUCUCUGCAGAGAAGGACUUGGAAUAAGAGAUUAAAAGUUUAUCACUGAACUUCCAAUGAGAGAAGUAGUAACUAAUCAUUCUCUGACAACCUUCCAAAUGCAAUAGAUGGGAUGCCUAAGACAAGCUUAAGUCCAAUAAAAAAUUAAGAAACACCUUUCUUGCUAACCUGUCAGCAACCACCAUUGCCAAUCUCACAAAAAUUAUAUAACAACAAACAACUAAUAGUUUAAAGAAUAAUAUUUAUUAACCUUUGCUUAUAUAAUUUUUUGUCUUAUUAACAAAAGUUGUCUAGAAUUGCUCUUUAUUGAAGUCACAUUGUGUCUGGUCAUCAAAAUUACUGCCACACAGAAACAAGAUGACAGAUGAAAACUUCUUCCAUCUGUAUGAUAAGGAUGUGACAUGGUGAUCAUCUGGCCAUUGAGCAGGUCAUUGCACCAUUAUUUAAAUUUCUCUCUCUUUCAUCAGAACCAUAUUCAACUCAUCUACAUGCCCAGAUUAAGCCUGAAGCAGCUAAUCAUCUAUAGUGUGGGUUGAAGGAUUAUUCUCCUAAAUUGAAUUAAUACAUUUUUCUGAAGAUUUAUAUAUUUUUCUCAUGGAAUGCCUGGUUACAGAUUGGAUGACUAGAGCAUCUCUCUAUGGACUAGGCAACUUAUUUUCGUUACUAACUCCCAGGUUGCACAUAAAAUUGAGGAGUGAGCCUGGUUUGGGAAUGGCUGGCCACUUAAUUGCAAACUCAUUGUCACCAAUUGCUUUCUGCCCUGACACCCAAAAAAAUUUAAUCCUAUUCAUAAUCAGUUCCAUAAUUAGAUGAUGGCAUUCCCACACAAAUAGGAGCUAUCAAAUACUUUUAAUUCAG
rnacentral:lncRNA from 1 species